GGUUGGACGAGAUAUAAGCUGUUUCAUUUAAAAUUUAUAUAGAAUUUUAUUUUUUAGUUAAAAAGCUAAAAUAUGAUCAAAAGACGAGAAGACCCUAUAAAUCUUAAUUAUUUAAUAAUUUUUAAUUUAUUUUGGUUUUUUUUGUUAUAAAUUUAUUAAAUAAUUUUAUUGGGGUGAUAUUAAAAUUUAAAUAACUUUUAAUAAUUUUUGUCAUUUAUUUAUGAUUAAGUGAUCCAUUAUUAGUGAUUAAAAAAUUAAGUUACUUUAGGGAUAACAGCGUAAUUUUUUUGGAGAGUUCUUAUCGAUAAAAAAGUUUGCGACCUCGAUGUUGGAUUAAGAUUCAUAUUUAAAUGCAGAAGUUUAAAUAUUAAGUCUGUUCGACUUUUUAUUCUUACAUGAUCUGAGUUCAAACCGGUGUAAGCCAGGUUGGUUUCUAUCUUUGAUUUAAUAAAGUAUUUUAGUACGAAAGGAAUUAAUAUUUAU
rnacentral:rRNA from 1 species